UGGAAACUUUCCAACUAUGAACAGAAAUUCUAAAUUUUCUAUAGGCUUUCGCCACAAGCAGGCGGACAGGAAGCUGUUCCACUGUGGGUCGGCGUUGCGAAAACGAUGAUAUAGUCAUCUUACAGAGUUCCUCACAAUUGUGAGGCAGACCCCCCUUCACAAUCUUGCAAGAAGAAACCCAUACUGAAGGAGAACGUACAUUUGAGUACUUUAAUGCGACUUCAUAUGAUCAUGGGCUUCCAAACUAUCACAUGUAAAUUUGGUUCGAGCUAAAGUAUAAAGGAAAUGAAAAGCCAAUUUGAAGAUUUUUGCUCACCUUUCGC
rnacentral:lncRNA from 1 species